UUCAACUUGGCAGAAAUAUGCGUUAAAUUUAGAAUUUAUUUAUGAAAAAAUAUUCAGUUGAAA
rnacentral:tRNA from 1 species